GACGUAGGGCGCGAGCGUUGUCCGGAUUUACUGGGCGUAAAGAGCGCGCAGGCGGUCGUUCAAGUCGCGUGUGAAAGCCCCCGGCUCAACUGGGGAGGGUCACGCGAUACUGAUCGACUCGAAGGCAGGAGAGGGAAGUGGAAUUCCCGGUGUAGUGGUGAAAUGCGUAGAUAUCUGGAGGAAUACCGGUGGCGAAGGCGGCAUCCUGGACCGGCAUUGACGCUGAGGAGCGAAAGCUAGGGGAGCAAACGGGG
rnacentral:rRNA from 1 species